rnacentral:rRNA from 1 species
AUUGAACGCUGGCGGCACGCUUAACACAUGCAAGUCGAACGGCAGCACGGGUGCUUGCACCUGGUGGCGAGUGGCGGACGGGUGAGUAAAGCGUAGGAAUCUACCAUACAGAGGGGGACAACUCGGGGAAACUCGAGCUAAUACCGCAUGUGGUCGAAAGAUUAAAGGUGGCCUCUGUUUUAAGCUAUCGCUGUAUGAUGAGCCUACGUCGGAUUAGCUAGUUGGUAAGGUAAAAGCUUACCAAGGCGACGAUCCGUAGCUGUUCUGAGAGGAUGAUCAGCCACACUGGGACUGAGACACGGCCCAGACUCCUACGGGAGGCAGCAGUGGGGAAUAUUGGACAAUGGGGGCAACCCUGAUCCAGCGAUGCCGCGUGUGUGAAGAAGGCCUGCGGGUUGUAAAGCACUUUAAUUAGGGAGGAUAAGGCACAUGUGAAUAAUGUGUGUUGUAGACGUUACCUAAAGAAUAAGCACCGGCUAACUCUG